UAGUCAUAUGCUUGUCUCAAAGAUUAAGCCAUGCAUGUCUAAGUACAAGCCUCACUAAGGUGAAACCGCGAAUGGCUCAUUAAAUCACACCUAAUCUACUGGAUAGUUAACAGUUACUUGGAUAACUGCGGUAAUUCUGGAGCUAAUACAUGCACAAAGCCCCGAACUUACGUGAGGGGCGCUUUUAUUAGAUCAAAACCAAACGGCUUCGGCUGUAUCCUUGGUGACUCUGAAUAACUUUGGGCUGAUCGCAUGGCCUAGCGCCGGCGACAUAUCCUUCGAAGGUGUGCCCUAUCAACUGUCGACUGUGGCGUAGACGCCCACAGUGGUUUUGACGGGUAACGGGGAAUCAGGGUUCGAUUCCGGAGAGGGAGCCUUAAAAACGGCUACCACAUCUAAGGAAGGCAGCAGGCACGCAAAUUACCCAAUGACCGAAGGUCGAGGUAGUGACAAAAAAUAACGAUACGGGACUCAUCUGAGGCCCCGUAAUCGGAAUGAGUACACUUUAAAACCGUCCCCGAGGAUCUAUU
rnacentral:rRNA from 1 species